CGCAGCCGCGGUAAUUCCAGCUCCAAUAGCGUAUAUUAAAGUUGUUGCAGUUAAAAAGCUCGUAGUUGAAUUUCGGGGUCAGCAGGUUGGUCGUGCCACUGGUAUGUACUGGCUUAGCUGAUUCCUCCCUUUUUGUAGAACCGUAAUGCCAUUAAUUUGGUGUUGCGGGGAAACAAGACUGUUAACUUUGAAAAAAUUAGAGUGUUUAAAGCAGGCUAACGCCCGAAUACAUUAGCAUGGAAUAAUGAAAUAGGACGUUCGAUCCUAUUUUGUUGGUUUCUAGGAUUGACGUAAUGAUUAAUAGGGACAGUUGGGGGCAUUAGUAUUCAAUUGUCAGAGGUGAAAUUCUUGGAUUUAUUGAAGACUAACUACUGCGAAAGCAUUUGUCAAGGAUGCUUUCAUUAAUCAAGAACGAAAGUUAGGGGAUCGAAGACGAUCAGAUACCGUCGUAGUCUUAACCAUAAACUAUGCCGACUAGGGAUCGGAUGAUGUUAAUUUUUUAAUGUACUCAUUUGGCGUC
rnacentral:rRNA from 1 species